ACAAAAGGGUAAAAGCUCG
rnacentral:snRNA from 1 species